rnacentral:rRNA from 1 species
CGCGGCCUAUCAGCUUGUUGGUGGGGUAACGGCCUACCAAGGCGACGACGGGUAGCCGGCCUGAGAGGGCGACCGGCCACACUGGGACUGAGACACGGCCCAGACUCCUACGGGAGGCAGCAGUGGGGAAUAUUGCGCAAUGGGCGAAAGCCUGACGCAGCGACGCCACGUGGGGGAUGAAGGCCUUCGGGUUGUAAACCCCUUUCAGCAGGGACGAAGCGAAAGUGACGGUACCUGCAGAAGAAGCGCCGGCUAACUACGUGCCAGCAGCCGCGGUAACACGUAGGGCGCAAGCGUUGUCCGGAAUUAUUGGGCGUAAAGAGCUCGUAGGCGGUCUGUUGCGUCCGCUGUGAAAACUCGGGGCUUAACCCCGAGCCUGCAGUGGAUACGGGCAGACUAGAGGUAGGUAGGGGAGAAUGGAAUUCUCGGUGUAGCGGUGAAAUGCGCAGAUAUCGGGAGGAACACCGGUGGCGAAGGCGGUUCUCUGGGCCUUACCUGACGCUGAGGAGCGAAAGCGUGGGGAGCGAACAGGAUUAGAUACCCUGGUAGUCCACGCCGUAAACGUUGGGCGCUAGGUGUGGGAUCCUUCCACGGAUUCCGUGCCGCAGCUAACGCAUUAAGCGCCCCGC